rnacentral:tRNA from 1 species
AGGGUAAUAGCUCAAUGGUAGAGAGCAUGCUUAGCAUGCAAGAGGUCCUGGGUUCAAUCCCCAGUAUCUCCA